rnacentral:rRNA from 1 species
GACGAACGCUGGCGGCGUGCUUAACACAUGCAAGUCGAACGGAAAGGCCCUGCUUUUGUGGGGUGCUCGAGUGGCGAACGGGUGAGUAACACGUGAGUAACCUGCCCUUGACUUUGGGAUAACUUCAGGAAACUGGGGCUAAUACCGGAUAGGAGCUCCUGCUGCAUGGUGGGGGUUGGAAAGUUUCGGCGGUUGGGGAUGGACUCGCGGCUUAUCAGCUUGUUGGUGGGGUAGUGGCUUACCAAGGCUUUGACGGGUAGCCGGCCUGAGAGGGUGACCGGCCACAUUGGGACUGAGAGACGGCCCAGACUCCUACGGGAGGCAGCAGGGGGGAAUAUUGCACAAUGGGCGGAAGCCUGAUGAAGCAACGUCGCGUGCGGGAUGACGGCCUUCGGGUUGUAAACCGCUUUCGCCUGUGACGAAGCGUGAGUGACGGUAAUGGGUAAAGAAGCACCGGCUAACUACGUG